UUUUAAAAGAAGAGAAAAAACUGUUUAAAAAAAGGGUCAUUAGUUGUUGUUUGUUUGUUUCAAUAGUUGUCCCUCCACUACUGAAAAGGUGGUUCUUGCUAAGAACAUCAUUACCAUCUUCCCGUCCCUAAAAGUCCAAAUUGAUGGCAGAGGAGAAGGCUUUGAGCAUUUCUUUGAUCCAGCAUCAUGCUCUGGGUUUUUGGAGAUGAGACUUUGCAAUAUCCGCCGGAAGUUAGAGGAAGGUCAGCGCCGUUACAGUAGACACAAGAGGAGCCGAGAUGUUAAUGAGAUGUCAAGUUCUGUGCAGGAUGAAGGGGACAGCAGUAACGUCAGAGAGUUCAUCAACCUGAUGAAAAGGCUGAGGCCUUCUGCAGAAAACAUUUCCUCAAUCAGAUCAGCGAUGCAGAAAACCUUCCCCUGGUGCAGAUCGUGGAUAUCCAAACAUUCACCCACUAUGGUGGAAAUCUUGCAAAAGUAUCCACGCUUCUUGGAUAUACCAACACUGCUUGAUACAGAGUUUGGUAAAAUGCAUGGAGGAAAGGGGGACCUGUUCCUAAGGCGUUGGGAGGCCAGCAUCAUGCCAAAGCUGAAAGCUGUUACGGCCAGCGAGAAUGGUGAUGUUGCAUCUCUUGUUGAAGGGAUGGAAGACCAGA